rnacentral:lncRNA from 1 species
CCUUGAUUGAAUUGGAAAGCUUUUCUUGAGGGUUUAUUUGGAGAUACUUGGGAUUGAUAUCUACUCACUGCAUUUGAAGAACACAAGUCUGUUUUGGUCGACAAAACAGUGCUCUGAAAAGGUGCAAGAAAUCGGGAGAGUUCUAAAAAGGUGCAAGAAAUUAAACAGGCAACAUUGUUUAAGAUACAGACCCAAAUGCUCUUCAAUCCUCCGUCAACAUUAACAAGUUCAAAGAAGAAAGAUGAUUAAAGCCUAAACUAGCACAACUAGAACAUACGAUAC